AAAUUUAUUUAUUUAGCAUUUUAUCAGGUACAAGAAAUAUUUGCCUACAGGGAGAAAACCACCACCACCACAAAUCCUACUACUAUAUGCACUAUAUUAAGCACAUGAGUUGAUCAAGGGGAAAAAAGUUAGUUUCUCCAGUUCAUGGGCUUUGAGAUUUUAAAUGUUUUCUGAAAUCAUUAAUGGAGAAAUUUAAAUAACCAAAAAUUUGAAUUAAGGAUGGGAAACGGCUGAUUUUAAAAAUGGAAAUAUCACAUAAUAUGUCUGUUUGAAAUGGAAACGACAAAAAUUUAAAAAUAGUUAAAGAAAUAUUUUGAGAAUUCAGUUGGCUUCAAUUGUUAUUUUCUAUUAGUGACGGAUAUCACAAGUAAAAGACAGUCCUUAUUUAUUUGUUAUUUAAUUAGGAUUUAUAUAUAUACACACAUAUAUAAAGACUAUAUAGACUAUAUAUAUACACACUGUUAUAUAUAUGGAAUAUAUAUAUGUUUGUGUAUAUAUGUAUGUUUGUGUGUGUGUGUGUGUGUGUAUAUAUAUAUAUUUGUUCUCAUGCUGCUAUAAAGAAGUGUCCAAGACUGAGUAAUAUAUAAAGGAAAAAGAUUCAAUCGACUCACAGUUCCACAUGACUGAGGAAGCCUCAGGAAAUGUAGAAUCAUGAUGGAAGGGGAAGCAAACCCAUCCUUCACUUGAUGGCAGGAAGGAGAAAUUCUGAGCAAAAGGGGGGAAAGCCCCUUAUGCAACCAUCAGGUCUUGGGAGAACUCACUCACUAUCAUGAAAACAUCUGUAUGGGAUUACCGCCCCCAUGAUUCAAUUUCAAUUACCUUCUACCAGGUCCCUCUCACAACACAUGGGGGUUAUGGGAACUACAUUCAAGAUGAGAUUUGGGUGGGGACACAGCCAAACCAUACAUAUAUACAUACACACACACACACACACACACACACACACAGAGUCUAUAUAUAUACAUACACACACACACACACAUAAAUAAGGACUGUGUAGAUAUGUGUGUGUAUAUAUAUAUAUAAAUACAGUCCUUAUGUGUUUAAAUAUAUAUUUACUGUCCUUAUUGAUAUGUUUUGUGUGUGUGUGUGUGUGUGUGUGUGUACACACUGCCAGAGGUUUGAAAAGGUUAAGAUUUUAUCAGUAAGAAAAAACCAGUCACCUCUUCCAGCCCAUGCACCAUGUUGUCCUGCCACUCCGCUGUCCCACUCCUCCACCAGUUGCAAUGGAAGAAGAGAUCGCCGUGCUGGUGAUUGACAAUGGCUCCAGCAUGUGCAAAGCUGGCUUUGCUGGGGACGACAACCCACAGCCAUGUUUCCUUCCAUAGAGAAGAUCUGGCAUCACACCUUCUACAAGGGGCUGCACAUGGCCUUGGAAGAGCACCCGGUGCUGCUGACCGAGGACCCCCUGAACCUCAAGGCCAACAGAGAGAAGAUAACUCAGAUCAUGUUUGAUACCUUCAACACCCUGGCCAUGUACGUGGCCAUCCAGGCUAUGCUGUCCCUCUACACCUGUGGGUGCACACUGGCAUUGUCAUGGGCUCUGGAGAUGGGGUCACCCACAUGGUGCCCAUCUAUAAGGGCUACGCCCUCGCCCACACCAUCCUUCAUCUGGACCUGGCUGGCCAGGACCUGACCAACUACCUCAUGAAGAUCCUCACCAAGGGUGGCUAUAGCUUCACCACCACUGCCAAGAGGGAGAUUGGGCACUACUUUAAGGAGAAACUGUACUAUGUUGCCCUGGACUUUGAGCAGGAGUUGGCCACUGCCACAUCCUCCUCCUCCCUGGAGAAGAGAUAUAAGCUGCCUGAUGGCCAUGUCAUCACCAUCGGCAACGAGGUUCCAGUGUCCCGAAAUGCUGUUCCAGCCUUCCUUCCUGGACAUGGAAUCUUGCGGCAUCCACCCAGACCACCUUCAGCUCCAUCAUGAAGUGUGACGUGGACAUCUGCAAAGACCUGUAGGCCAACACGGUACUAUCUGGUGGCACCAUGUACCCAGGCAUCACCGACAGGAUGCAGAAGGAGAUCACCACCCUGGCACCUAGCACCAUGAAGAUCAAGAUGAUCGCACCCCCAGAGCACAAGUACUUGGUAUGAAUCAGCGGCUCCAUCCUGGCCUCACGGUCCACCUUCCAGCAGAUGUGGAUUAGCAAGCAAUAGUACAAGGACUCGGCCCCCUCCGUCGUCCACUGCAAUGCUUCUAAAUGGACUGCGAGCAGAUGGCUAGCAUUUGCUUCAUGGGUUAAUUCAGAAGUAAAAAUUUGUCUCUUGCAAAUGCAUAUGCCUCAUGCUAGCCUCACCAAACUGGAAUAAGCCUUUGAAAAUAAGUUGUCUUUGAAGCUUGUAUCUAUGAAUAAACAGUUUGCCCUCAAGUAUUUAUUCAUGCCAAUAUUUACUUUUUAAAAUGUGCUUCUUACAGGAAUAUAAGUAGUUUCUGGAAAGGACACUGACAACUUCAAUGCAAAAUGAAGUUCUUUUUGUUGCUCUUAACCAUUGGGUUCUGCUGGGCUCAGUAUUCCCCAAAUACACAACAAGGACGGACAUCUAUUGUUCAUCUGUUUGAAUGGCGAUGGGUUGAUAUUGCUCUUGAAUGUGAGCGAUAUUUAGCUCCCAAGGGAUUUGGCGGGGUUCAGGUCUCUCCACCAAAUGAAAAUGUUGCAAUUUACAACCCUUUCAGACCUUGGUCGGAAAGAUACCAACCAGUUAGCUAUAAAUUAUGCACAAGAUCUGGAAAUGAAGAUGAAUUUAGAAACAUGGUGACUAGAUGUAACAAUGUUGGGGUUCGUAUUUAUGUGGAUGCUGUAAUUAAUCAUAUGUGUGGUAAUGCUGUGAGUGCAGGAACAAGCAGUACCUGUGGAAGCUACUUCAACCCUGGAAGUAGGGACUUUCCAGCAGUCCCAUAUUCGGGAUGGGAUUUUAAUGAUGGUAAAUGUAAAACUGGAAGUGGAGAUAUCGAGAACUACAAUAAUGCUACUCAGGUCAGAGAUUGUCGUCUGGUUGGUCUUCUUGAUCUUGCACUGGAGAAAGAUUAUGUGCGUUCCAAGAUUGCCGAAUAUAUGAACCAUCUCAUUGACAUUGGUGUUGCAGGGUUCAGACUUGAUGCUUCCAAGCACAUGUGGCCUGGAGACAUAAAGGCAAUUUUGGACAAACUGCAUAAUCUAAACAGUAAAUGGUUCCCUGAAGGAAGUAAACCUUUCAUUUACCAGGAGGUAAUUGAUCUGGGUGGUGAACCAAUUAAAAGCAGUGACUACUUUGGAAAUGGCUGCGUGACAGAAUUCAAGUAUGGUGCAAAACUCAGCACAGUUAUUCGCAAGUGGAAUGGAGAGAAGAUGUCUUACUUAAAGAACUGGGGAGAAGGUUGGGGUUUCAUGCCUUCUGACAGAGCACUUGUCUUUGUGGAUAACCAUGACAAUCAACGAGGACAUGGGGCUGGAGGAGCCUCUAUACUUACCUUCUGGGAUGCUAGGCUAUAUAAAAUGGCAGUUGGAUUUAUGCUUGCUCAUCCUUAUGGAUUUACACGAGUAAUGUCAAGCUACCGUUGGCCAAGACAGUUUCAAAAUGGAAAAGAACAUGGUUAUUUUCCGCAAUGUAGUGGAUGGCCAGCCUUUUACAAACUGGUAUGAUAAUGGGAGCAACCAAGUAGCCUUUGGAAGAGGAAACAGAGGAUUCAUUGUUUUCAACAAUGAUGACUGGUCAUUUUCUUUAACUUUGCAAACUGGUCUUCCUGCUGGCACAUACUGUGAUGUCAUUUCUGGAGAUAAAAUUAAUGGCAAUUGCACAGGCAUUAAAAUCUACGUUUCUGAUGAUGGCAAAGCUCAUUUUUCUAUUAGUAACUCUGCUGAAGAUCCAUUUAUUGCAAUUCAUGCUGAAUCUAAAUUAUAAAAUUCAAAAUUAAAUGCAUAUCCUCAAAAC
rnacentral:sRNA from 1 species